rnacentral:lncRNA from 1 species
CAAGAUCGUAAUGAACUGACAUUUACUGCAUCAAGUGUUACAACAUUCCACAGGGUUUAACAUAAAUCGGAGUACAUAGGGUUAUUACAACAUGGAUGGCACGCAGGCCCCAAAUAACUCCAAGUAGCAAUCACCGAAGUGAUAAGUUUAGCAGAAGCAUUUAUUUAACUAGCACCCACAUCACUUGCGAGGUUUUCGAAAUACUAUGCCAACAUUUGGGUAUGCCAACCCACCAAAAGCAUGAGACGAGAAUGGAGAAGCCCUGCCCUAGGCCUAGUCAUCUCCUGUAGCCGGGUAUAGGCAGUGCUCACGGUACCCGUAGUACAUCUGGCCAUCUGCAAUAAUCAUUAGGAAUAGCACCUUGAGUACUAGAAUGUACUCAGCUAGACUGACCCGUCCAAAACCAGGAAAUAAGAAAGUAAAAGACUCCAAGGGUUAUGCAAAGCUAUAUCUGGAGCUGGCUCUUUACAUUAUAAGACUAACAGAAGUUAAUGAAGUUAUUAGCAACUUAAAGGGGUUACCAAAUUUAUUAUUCCAUUUUAGUAGAUCAGUAUUGGUACCUAUUCCGCUGUAGAACUAGAUUUGCACCUGAUUCUCUAAAUAUUCAUUGCCAGGAUUACUAUGAGUCUAGUUAUAGCUUUAGUGAAGAAUCAAGUUAAGGAAGACUGUUCAUAAUUAUCACAUCAAGAUUAUCCCAUCCCUUGACCAUAUUUGGGAGUAACAUCACAUCUUAUCCCUAUCAUCAACUCAUAGAAAGUGUAGUUCUUAAUAUGAUGAGAUAACUCAAGUCAAGUGCUCACUAUCUUGGAGCAAUGGCAAUUUGAAUCGGUUACUAACUAGCUGGUGGGUACUCCUAACACAAAUCGUACCCAUAGUACUUCAUGAGAUACAAUCACCACCACCGUCAUUCGAGUAGCAGCCUUGCUGCACAUCUCGGAUUCCAUAGGGGCCACCAUACCCAGGAAUCGCCCGACUACCAGAGGGUUAGGGCGUACCAUCCACCAUGGGUCAUCUCGUCGUGUCCUCGUCACUCCUCAACCACACCAAUAAUUGCACCGCGAGGUUGAAUCCGGCUGGAAUGGUGCUCUGGCUUCACGGUCGGAAUGAAUUAUCCGGCCAGCUAAGUGUAUAGGCAUAAAUUCAACAUGACUCGAGGGACCACAACGGUACGGUCCUUAAUCGACACAGGCGGGAUCACUAUGGCCUACAUGGUGCCCAUAAGAGUUAGUCGUGUCUCAUUUUAAAUCUUUAUUUCUAUCAUGUAUAUUACCCGACGACUUUAUCCCAAAUCAAGCAUAAGUAACCACCUAUAUCUCGCAGGUGACAAGAGAUCACCCGACUUCUACCGUCUAAGCAGGCCUAAGCAUUUUAAACGUGCUUACUUCAAAUAGGUGGCAAGGAUAGGGUAAACAAAAUAAUAAAGGGUAUAUGCAGCAAUUGGUUUCAAUCAACUCCUAUACCUAAUGCAACAAUAUAGGUAGACAGUGAAUAAAUUAAAGUAUUGCAAUUAUAGGAAGUUAGAUGUCGGGGCUUGACUUUCUCGAAGGAACUGGGGUGGUGAUCAGGACACUCCUGAGCUUCAACUUCUAGUUCACCCUCUUCCACGAGAAUUCCUGGUAGCUCCUCGACAAUUCCCACAGGUACUCCCUCAUGCGAUCAUGUAUGAUGUAUGGAUGCAGUAUGAAGAUACAUGAUGCUUCAUGCAAGAAACAUAUGAUGCUUAUGGGUGCAUGUAGUGUGCAUAUUGUGAGUAGAUUUACUAGCAGAGGUUUCUACCAUAUAGUCUACAUCGUCCAAGAACAUGUAGUCUGUCUUUUCUUGGUUGGUCCUGACUAUCACUUAAAGAAUCCACCUAACUUAACACAAGUCACAUUACAAUAUUUCUAAUUACCUUACUCUACAGGUGUAGACACACUAGGCAAUAUCCUUCAUUUAGCCCCAUUUUCUUUUAAAAGUUAGUUAUCUCUCAGUGAGAAGGAUUUUGUUCAAACCCUAGCUAUCACAAUAGUAAUUAUUUCCUACAUCAUUUCAGACUAACUCACAAUUGAAACUAGAAUUACAUAUAACUAUUCAAACCUUUCCAUACCGUUUAGUUGGACUUAUAUUGUGAAUGCUACUCGACCAUUUCAAAAUUUACUACAAAAAUUAUAGCAGGUAGUAUUCCUCUAUCAUACUUUUGCAUAGAAAUUUCAAUUGUUUUGGACCAUUAUUUUUUAUUGCACAAAAAUAACAAGAAAUGGUGUAGAAAGUAAAUUAAACCACUUUACAUUACUAAACCAGCCAAACAGUCAUUAUCAUAUUUUUCAUAUACUUUACUUGGCAUAAGAAUAUGUCACAAAAAAUUUCACAAACAUUUUAUCUAUAAAUAUAUUUCCAUGGUUUUCUAAGGAAAUCAGCCAUUUUCUAUUUUUAGUUUAUUAUUCAAAAUUUUCCUACAUGACUGUUGGUUCAAAAUAAUUUCAAAGAUGGUCAGUGACACAUGUUUUGCAUACAAAAAUUUUCACUUGAGUAUUCGAGGCUUUGCUAUUUAUUUCCUAUUUUCUAAAGAAUGGGCAACUUACCUUCUUAAUUCACAACAAUAAAUUUAUCAACAGAUCAUACCCCUAAAAUAAUUAUCACAAAUAAACAACAUCUAGAGGAACCUAGUAAAAAUUGGGAUCAUAUUUUUCUGGCCUUGAACUUAUUUAUUUAAUUACUUUUAGGAAAACUUGGUUUUCAUAUUUAAAUUCAAACUGUGUACAAAAACAUUCAAACUUUGACAUGCAGUAUUUUUAAAUCAUAGAUCUACUAAAGAGGAGUCCUACAAAAUUUAUUCCUUCAUUUUUCGAGUUCAAAAACUCGAGCCAUGGAUUUUCCAUUGUUCUCUGCGUUUUAAACCAAAAAGGAAAAGGAAACAGAAAAGCCACUUUGCAUGUUAGCCCCUCGGGUCUUAGUGAACUACGAAUCCUACUUCUAGAUCCUCGAUAACUGUUCUGCUCAGUCUAUGACGGUUUGCGAAACAACCCUCGGGGUUUUGCCUAUUUGUGCGUGAGAUCAUGUCUUCUUCCUCAGAACAGAGAGAGAGAGGAGGAUGCGUGGCUCGGUCGACGGCUUACCGGUGGCAGAAAUUGCUGGGCGAGUUUACGACAAGCGACGGUGGGUGAAGGCGGCCUCGUUGACGAGCUCAGGGCGGCAGGAGAAAGACGGAGGUGCUCGGUCCACGCGUGCCGGCGGGAACCGAAGCGCUGAGACGUCGAUGGUGGCGUGUGGGGUUUGUCGAGCUCGGGAGGAGACGUCGAAGCUUCGACGUACGAUGAGGAAGACAAUGUGAAGCAACUUAGUUGGAGGCGGAUGGUAAGGUCGCGGUCGUGGAGC